CACUUUUUGAUAUGGUCUUUUACGGCGUGCAUUAGAUGCACGCCGUUAAUAUCUAUUUUAGUUUGGUCUUUUACGGCAUGCAUUAAUACACGCCGUUAAUGUCUAUUUUAGUUUGGUCUUUUACGGCAUGCAUUAAUACACGCCGUUAAUGUCUACUUUCGUUUGGUCUUUUAUGGCAUGCAUUAGUGCACGCCAUUAAUGUCUAUUUUCGUUUGGUCUUUUAUGACAUGCAUUAGAUACACGCCGUAAUAGUAUUAUCUUUUACAGCCUGCAAGUAUGUGCGCCGUUAAUGUAGUUUUUAAUAUGAUUUUUUACAGCAUGCAUUAAUGUGUGCCGUAAAAAUAAAAGGCGGGAAAUUUUCAGCAAAAUUUUUAUUUCCCUCCAUCCUUUUCCUCCACACUUUCUAAUUCUAUUUUUUUUUCAUUUCAUAAAACAAAACUUUUCUCUCUCCCCGACAGACCUCAGUUUUCCCUAUCUCUUCCCUCCACGUCUCUUCCCACCGCCGAGUCGCCGUUCAGUGGAUUUGCUCCACUGCCGAGUCGCCGACCACCUCCCACCACCACCACGUUUUCUGCUCCUAUCAUCGAGAUUCCGUGGAUCGAUUGAGCUCCAAAUUAAAGAACAUUGAAGUGAUCACCGCUCUCGGAGAUUCGGGCCACCGGAAUCCGGGUCUUGAAGUUUCUGAAACCCAUUUGGAGAAAGUUGAGAACUUUGGCCUUAUCUUGCUCAUUUGCUAUCUUGGGUACCAGAAAAGGCCACCAAGCUUCAGUUACAGAAAGCCACCCAUUACUCUUCCAAAGAUCUUUGCUUUCAACUCUUUCCUCAAUCGGAAGCCAGUUUGCUUGGAUCAAGAAGCUUCGACUAGCCAAGAUGGAAGACAUUUGACACUUGGAUUUAUAUAUGCUCCAUUUAUCUAUCAUUGAAGGUAGACAGAACUCUCCCAGAAACCUUGAUAUUUAGGUUUUGAUGGCAGUUAAUAGCAUCGAUCAGGCUCUGAGAUAGAGAGGUUGGACUGAAAACGAGUAGGACAGGUUGCUGGGGUGGGAAAGAGAAGAGGAGGGGUUCAAGAUUGUGGUGGACUUAGAGACGAUACACCAGGGCCUUGCCUAUUCCUAAUAAUCAGGGGAUGAAGAAGAGGAUGAAGAGCAGCAAUAUCAUUGUUCAGAUAGCCAAAAGUUUGAGGAGCAAAUUUUGUCUUCUUGGUGCCUCUUUUGGGAUACGGACUAUGAUCCGGCUUUAAAUCAUAGUCCAUUCUCAACCCGAUAGGCGACCAUUCUCUAUAAGGUACCAGCUCUGGAGCACAAUGUAAAGAUACAAGAAUGUACUAGCAGCGGCUUUUUAUCUGCGAAACUGAAAUACUGGAACUUGUAAUGCCGAUGAUGAUGGGAGUCCUAAUGAAAGUGAUCGGAAAACGCUACGGCCUCCAAGUUGUUCCAAAACAUUCAAUGUUGAAACUAGCCAUGCUGCAAAAAUUCCCAUGAAUUGAGCAUAUCCUUUUUUCAUAUUUCUGAUUAAAUAUAUGUAUUUUCAGCACCUUUCUUAUUUGUACUCCUAUAUGUUUAGAGUGAGAAGCCACUACCGAUCUAGAAUCUUUGACACCUGCUCACAUCUGUUUGAUGGCUUAUCCUCCAGAGCAAGUGAGGCUAACUUAGUCUUCUUUGGGGACUUUGAAGAAAAGAACAGAAUUUUAGCAGGGUAGAGGGAGCCCAAUCAUAUUAGCUACCAUUUGACUGGAUCCAGUGGAUUACUAUUUGAUAGAGCGCGCAUGAAUUCCUCUGCUGGGACUUCCACUUUUUAAGGUUUCUAUUAACAUUGCCCUACUGAUGAUAAAGUGCUCAAAGUGAUGGUCAAUUGAGAGAAUCUGCAUUUGGAUGGUUAAAUGUUCAAAAGAUGAUGUAGUAUAUUUUGUAAUUGCUAUAUUCUUAACAUAAGUUUAAACUCAAGUUUGCU